rnacentral:rRNA from 1 species
UACGUAGGGUGCGAGCGUUGUCCGGAUUUAUUGGGCGUAAAGAGCUCGUAGGCGGUUUGUCGCGUCGGCCGUGAAAUCUCCACGCUUAACGUGGAGCGUGCGGUCGAUACGGGCAGACUUGAGUUCGGUAGGGGAGACUGGAAUUCCUGGUGUAGCGGUGAAAUGCGCAGAUAUCAGGAGGAGCACCGGGUGGCGAAGGCGGGUCUCUGGGCCGAUACUGACGCUGGAGGAGCGAAAGCGUGGGGAGCGAACAGG